GGCCUGGUGGCAGAUUGGCUAUGCACCGGAUUGCAAAUCCGUAGAGAUGGGUUCGAUUCCCGUCCAGGCCUCCA
rnacentral:tRNA from 1 species